GCCCACCACCCCCAUUCAGAUGCCUGUGUCAUGCUGCAUUUCUUCCUAGAGGAGAAAAAUGUCCAUUCAAUCUUCAAAUGGUAAAUUACUUGACACUGCCACUCUUAACUGUUGCACGGGACAAACUUUCAGACUCCUGUAAAACGCCUAGUUUUGACUUCUCAUUUUCUGCUGACCUCUUCAUUUCUAUCUCAAGCUGCUUGCAGUUUUCCUCGUGGGCUUUGUUGAACAAUCUCACAAAAUUAAGCAUAGUUGAAACAACUUGUUCAAAGGUACAACGUGCUGGAUCUUCUCCAAAAUAAAGAAUCAAUGCAUCCACAUUUCUACCCACUCCAGAGUACAAAGAAGCCAAAGACCUCACUUCAGCCUCAGCAAAACGAAGGAACUCCUUUAAAAUCUUACGAAAAUUCUCUGAUAUAGGACCAUCACUUUCAGAGGUUGAAAGUUCCUGUACAACCUUUUCUAAUCCUUUGCUUACAGCUUGCAUUUCCUCUGCCAAAAAUUUAAGUUGUACCUUUGAUGCAGGUUCCAAACUGGCAAGAUCUUUUGAAAAAUCUAGAAGUUCCGGUAAUUUGUCAACAAGCACCUUACAAAGAUAAUGCAGGAGAGUCAUCUUGUUAUUCCUUGCUCGUGUCUCAGUUAGUUUGAGAAGAC
rnacentral:misc_RNA from 1 species